GUCAGCACACAGUUUACAGAUAUUAAUUACGGCGGUUUUCCUUUGUCAUUGUACCUCUCUCUGACGUAAGUAAAGCCAGUGACUCAGAAUUCUGGGCCCACAUCAUGGGGAUGUGGCAGCACUAACAGAAAAAUGAACAAGCCCGGAGAUGGGAAAAAUCUGUAAGAGGACUGAUUUAAACGGGAGAAGCCAUCUGUCACCAAAGACCUUUCUGCCCCCAGGCCCGCUGAUAUCAGUCAGAAAACAAGGUCACAAGGCUCCAGGACCAAGGAUCGUCAAGAAGGAAGGUUCACAGUGGCUUAUUGACAAGAUUGAAGAAAAACUCCUCAGAAAUUAAUAACAAGCACCUGACAGACAUGCCUGCUAUCUCCAAUGCAAGACAUCCCAUGACGUUCAGUAAUUAAUGAUGCCGAAAAGGUGGAUCAAUUCAUGCUUUGCUCUUGAACUCCCUGGGGACGCUCUUGCAACUAUAUUGGUAUUCUCUGUGCUUUCGG